rnacentral:rRNA from 1 species
AUGGGCAAUGUACCUGCAAUGCCUGCACAUGUUUUUCAGACAGCUCAAGAGAACCAUGUGGUUGCGGUUGCGGAGGAAACAUUCAGUUUAUGUGACGUGGGUCGUCUGUCUCAAGUUAUCAGAAAACUGCACCGGUCCAUUGAGCAGCACCCCCACUCAAAGCAGGCAGACACGACGUGCUGUGUCUCGGCUGAAAGGAGAAGCAAUGACAGUUAUCCAUCGUCUGAUGAUGGUGAUGUUCCAGAGUGGCGCCUUCAUUUUUCCAACCGGGCCAAUCCCCUCCCCGUAACCGACAAGCGGCAGCUUCAUUAUCGAUCACAUAUGUAUAUGGAAACUGAGGGCCUUGAAUGUAUCUUACCUGACCAUAUGGCCCAACUAGAAGACAUUGUACGCCACCACACACUGGCUGUUGGUCCUGGUUACGAGGAAGAGCUACUCCAACACCUCCCACACAGCACAGAUGCGUUGACCAGCCUUUUCAAUGAACUGGAAAUUCGGUUGACCAGUAUUAGUCCUUCUGAAUGUGAAGAUUUUCCCAUCAGGUUGAAAACAUACACCGAAUUGCUCUGUUUGAUUAAAGGGCAGUUAUAUGACGAGAGUAGACCAUUUAGGGAAUUUAAGAUAGGCUACUUUGCACAGUUUGCAAAACACCCUAUAGAAAUUCUCGUGAAAAUAGCACUUCUUCUCAGCAACAUGGAGUGGUCUGUCACUGAGAUUUGUCCAAUGAUGCUUGCAUAUGAGGCAGUUAUGGAUGUUGUUCCUCUUAUCCAAAAAUUAAUUCCCAGUGAAUCUGAUGAUCUCUUACCCGAGAUUAAAAGUAACAUCUGGGAGUCUUUCAGGAAAACAGUUGGCAGUAUGGGGGAUCCUCGGGAUGGUGCCAUUCACUCAGUGACAUGUUCCCUCGUAGACUCAGUGAAGAGUAUCCAUAGUCACAAAGAGUUAGUGCAAUCUUUUGCUCCUGAUGAUGACUGCCACUCGUUUGGAAAUCUUCUGUCUGGCGUGAUUGGAAGGUGGAUAUCUGCACUCGAGAAACAUCCGAUGUCAGAUAGUCGGCGGAAGAACAUUUUCAUGCUGAACAACAUGAGUCAUUUAAAGGGGAAGACAAAUGGUCUGUUAGAUGAUUUGCUGCCUCAGCAACAUCUUGAUUUUGCUUAUCCUGAUUAUUUCAAAUUACUCACAGAUAUCUGGAUCCAGGGUUACCUGGUAGAUGCUUGGAAGCCAGCCUUAUCUUGUCUGAGUUGCAAGUCUUGGUGGGUUAGUCGGCAUUCAUCCUUGGUUAAAUUUACCUCAACAUUCAAUGGGAUUUUUGAUCAUCAGAAAACUUGGGUGGUUCCUGAUCCUGCUCUACGGGAAACUCUAAGAGUCCGUAUAAAGGGGCAUAUUUUGCCAACAUACAGAGCUUUCUUGGUGAAGUAUCCAGAUACUGGGCCGUCUGGUUGUUUGUGUUUGUGGGGAGAUUCAGCACAAGAGAUAUAUAGCGCAGAGAGUUUGGAGCUGGUGGUGGACACGAUAUUUGAAGGGGGAACUGGACAGCCUACUUCUCCUUCCCUUUCUCCUUAG